rnacentral:snRNA from 1 species
GUGCUCGCUUUGGCAGCACGUGUACUAAAAUUGGAAGGAUACAGAGAUUAACGUGCCCCCCGUGCAAGGAUGACAUGAAAAUCCCUGAAGCGUUCCGUAUUUCU